GCUGUUCAAUUUUCUGCCUUUAA
rnacentral:miRNA from 1 species